CACCGCAAAUUGAUAAUUAUGGAUGUCUUCCGAAGAUCCCUUGAAACUGCACAAGUAUCCGACCUCUACAGGUAUCCACACGAGACUUCGAUCUGAUCAGAAGCUUCUUGAUCUCAUCAGAAUACUAGCUCUCUUACAGAAAUCGCAUCUUGACGGUUGAAAAAUCUUCUUUUCUCUUAAGAUACUUUUAGAGAAGAAGAAAAAAAUAGGAGGAUGAUGAUCUCUAUGCUAGAGAUCAUGAGAAGAAUAUUUUUUUCUCUUUUCUUCCUAAAACCCAUGCACCAA
rnacentral:lncRNA from 1 species